AGAGUGAACGCUGGCGGUAGGCCUAACACAUGCAAGUCGAACGGCAGCACGGUAAGAGCUUGCUCUUAUGGGUGGCGAGUGGCGGACGGGUGAGGAAUACAUCGGAAUCUACCUUUUGGUGGGGGAUAACGUAGGGAAACUUACGCUAAUACCGCAUACGCCCUUCGGGGGAAAGCCGGGGACCAGCAAUGGCCUGGCGCUGAUAGAUGAGCCGAUGUCGGAUUAGCUAGUUGGUGAGGUAAUGGCGUCACGUAAGGCGACGAUCCGUAGCUGGUCUGAGAGGAUGAUCAGCCACACUGGAACUGAGACACGUCCAGACUCCUACGGGAGCAGCAGUGGGGAAUAGUUGGACAAGUGGGCGCGAAGCCUGAAUCCAGCCUAUACCGGCGU
rnacentral:rRNA from 1 species